UACGAAGGUGUCUAGCGUUGUUCGGAAUCACUGGGCGUAAAGCGCGCGCAGGCGGACUACCAAGUCUGAGGUGAAAGCCCGAAGCUCAACUUCGGAAUUGCCUUGGAAACUGGUAGUCUAGAGUGCAAUAGGGGAUAGCGGAAUUCCAAAUGUAGAGGUGAAAUUCGUAGAUAUUUGGAGGAACACCGGUGGCGAAGGCGGCUAUCUGGAUUGCAACUGACGCUGAGGCGCGAAAGCGUGGGGAUCAAACAGG
rnacentral:rRNA from 1 species